rnacentral:rRNA from 1 species
GAUGAACGCUGGCGGCGUGCUUAACACAUGCAAGUCGAACGAAGCACUUUAUUCGAUUUUCUUCGGAGAUGAAGAUUUAGUGACUGAGUGGCGGACGGGUGAGUAACGCGUGGAUAACCUGCCUCACACUGGGGGAUAACAGUUAGAAAUGACUGCUAAUACCGCAUAAGCGCACAGCACCGCAUGGUACGGUGUGAAAAACUCCGGUGGUGUGAGAUGGAUCCGCGUUUGAUUAGCCAGGUGGCGGGGUAACGGCCCACCAAAGCGACGAUCAAUAGCCGACCUGAGAGCGUGAACGGCCACAUUGGGACUGAGACACGGCCCAAACUCCAACGGGAGGCAGCAGUGGGGAAUAUUGCGCAAUGGGGGAAACCCUGACGCAGCGACGCCGCGUGAGCGAUGAAGUAUUUCGGUAUGUAAAGCUCUAUCAGCAGGGAAGAAUAAAUGACGGUACCUGACUAAGAAGCCCCGGCUAACUACGUGCCAGCCGCCGCCGUAA